GAGGCAUCUGGGGAGCUACUGCUCUGGAUCUCUCCAUAAAAACAAGUGAGCUUAGCAGCUCUAGAGCAUGACUGCUCUAACAAAAACUAGUGAGCUUGGCAGCUCUAGGGUCUCUCUAGUAGAGCCUCUAACAAAAAGAUAGCUAGUCAUAAUCUUUGUGAUGGAUCACUUGGGUGUCGUCGACGAUGAAGAACGUAGCAAGCAGCGUUAUUUAAUGUGAAAUGCACACUUCGUGAAUCAUCGAGUUUUCGAACAAAUACACGACUGCCUGGUUCAUGCUGGUGCAGUACUUGUUUGAGAGUGUCAGUCUUUUAUUCUUUAUUAGACAUGGUGGGGUAUCGGUGAGCUAGUCACUAGUAACUAUGUCUGCCUCUGAUAGACUAGUUGUCAGCAAUGACAAUUAUGACGUCUCCCUCAGGCAGACUAGCCUAGUGAUGAUGCUUACCGCGGAAGACUAGUCGUCACUAGUAAUUAUGACGUCUGCCUCUGAUAGACUAGUUGUCAGCAAUGACAAUUAUGACGUCUCCCUAAGGCAGACUAGUUACUAGUGAUGAUUAUGAUGUCUCCCAAGGCAGACCAUGAUCAGUAGAUGACUUGUCAUCUACUGAUCAUGUGUAUUGUGCCUGGUAGAUAGGUCGUCAGUAGGUGACUCGUCACCUAUUGGUGGCUGGUCUAUGUCAUAUAGUACUUCUCCCUUGUCUAUCAUGUGCUCUAUAGUAGCACACUCUAUAAUCCCUGACCUCUCUUUCAAGAGAUUACCCACUGAAUUUAACUCCAAAAAAAGAGGCGGAAAAAAAAAUAUUAAAUUAAUUAUUUUUUCUGGGAACAUCCA
rnacentral:rRNA from 1 species